CUCAAACACUCUGUAUGGUCUAUUCUCAGAAAUGCUAAUAAUUACCUGGUGUUUCUAUUCACCCUCAUAAACGAUACUCCAGGUGGACAUCAGGAAAGCUAAAAAAUAGCAGGAAGCAAGAAAGAACCAAACAGAAACACGAGACAGAAUGUUUGUCUGAAAGAAGGGAAUGAGCAAACUUUAGAGCCAGACUAUGAGGUUCAAGGGAACAUGAACUAGGUCCACAGGGGUAUGCUGUGUGUGGGGAAACAUCAGGCACCGUCAAGAAGACAGGCUGCUGCUCAGACUCCAAAUAGUCUCAGCAGCUCAUCUUCCCACAUAGAGAUGGCAGAAACUCCAGAGUUCAAGAGAGAAAAGCAAGCACCAAGAGAGACGGUGUGAGAACGGGGAAAAGGAAAAAGAAGAACGUAGGGAGAAGCAACACCAACAGUGAUUCCUCUCCUUGCUGCACCGCUGACCCAGUAACCAACUGUGCUCUGGAGACAGUUUCCUUUCAUCUCUGUCCUGAGGACGGCAUAUUACACAUCUCUCAUUCUGAAGAAAUGUUCACCAGAAGA